GACAGAGGGUGCAAACGUUGGUCGGAAUUACUGGGCGUAACGCGUGUGUAGGCGGUCUGCUAAGUCGGGUGUGAAAGCCCUGGGCUCAACCCAGGAAGUGCACUCGAAACUGGCAGGCUAGAGUACUGGAGAGGUUGGUGGAAUUCUCGGUGUAGAGGUGAAAUUCGUAGAUAUCGAGAGGAACACCGGUGGCGAAGGCGGCGAUCUGGACGAUGACUGACGCUGAGACGCGAAAGCGUGGGGAGCAAACAGG
rnacentral:rRNA from 1 species